rnacentral:rRNA from 1 species
CCUACGGGUGGCUGCAGUGGGGAAUAUUGGACAAUGGGGGGAACCCUGAUCCAGCCAUGCCGCGUGUGUGAAGAAGGCCCUCGGGUUGUAAAGCACUUUCAGUGAGGAAGAACGCCUGGUGGUUAAUACCCAUCAGGAAAGACAUCACUCACAGAAGAAGCACCGGCUAACUCCGUGCCAGCAGCCGCGGUAAUACGGAGGGUGCGAGCGUUAAUCGGAAUUACUGGGCGUAAAGCGCGCGUAGGUGGCUUGAUAAGCCGGUUGUGAAAGCCCCGGGCUCAACCUGGGAACGGCAUCCGGAACUGUCAAGCUAGAGUGCAGGAGAGGAAGGUAGAAUUCCCGGUGUAGCGGUGAAAUGCGUAGAGAUCGGGAGGAAUACCAGUGGCGAAGGCGGUCUUCUGGACUGACACUGACACUGAGGUGCGAAAGCGUGGGUAGCAAACAGGAUUAGAUACCCCUGUAGUC